rnacentral:rRNA from 1 species
CAGUAGCCACGGGAAUACGUAGGGUGCGAGCGUUAAUCGGAAUUACUGGGCGUAAAGCGUGCGCAGGCGGUUUGUUAAGACAGAUGUGAAAUCCCCGGGCUCAACCUGGGAACUGCAUUUGUGACUGGCAAGCUAGAGUGUGGCAGAGGGGGGUGGAAUUCCGCGUGUAGCAGUGAAAUGCGUAGAUAUGCGGAGGAACACCGAUGGCGAAGGCAGCCCCCUGGGCCAACACUGACGCUCAUGCACGAAAGCGUGGGGAGCAAACAGGAUUAGAUACCCCCGUAGUCCCUGUCUCUUAUAC